UAUUCGCGCAGGGAAAGGUAAGGCGAGAAACCGUAGAUACGUAUCUCGUAAGGGGCCAUUGGUUGUCUACGGUAAUGAAGGUGCUAAGCUGGUUAAGGCAUUCCGUAACAUUCCUGGUGUGGAGAUUGCCAAUGUGGAACGCCUCAACCUUUUGAAGCUGGCUCCCGGUGGUCAUUUAGGUCGGUUUGUGAUCUGGACCAAGUCCGCUUUUGAGAAGCUUGAUUCUAUCUAUGGAACUUUUGAGAAGGCUUCGGAGAAGAAGAAUGGUUAUGUUUUGCCCAGGGCUAAGAUGGUGAAUGCUGACCUUGCUAGGAUUAUCAACUCCGAUGAGGUUCAGUCUGUGGUGAAACCCGCCAACAAGGAAGUUAAGAGGGCGACCCUGAAGAAGAAUCCAUUGAAGAACUUGAACGUGAUGUUUAAGCUUAACCCGUAUGCCAAGACCGCUAGGAGGAUGUCCUUAUUAGCUGAUGCUCAGCGCGUUAAGUCUAAGAAGGAGAAGCUUGACAGGAAGAGGACUCCCAUUAGCAAGGUAAAAAUCAGAGUUUUCUCUCUUUGAUGACACUUGAUAUUAGUAAAACUUAGCUGUAAUUAUUAUGUGAGCUGAAUGAUUUGAUCGCAUUCUAUUGUUGGGUACAGCAAUGUUCUCUGUUGUUGUUUAAGUAGGGCAUAGAAUUCUCUGUUCUAUGUUCGGUGUAACAUAAUCUUGUUGAUAGCCGUAGCAUUUUGAAUGGCACAUCUUGGCUGUCCGAAAGCCAAGUGCUUUGACACUUUCUCAAUAGUUCUUCAUGUCUGUUGAUUGAAUGUUCAUAAGAAUCUUGACCUGAGUUGCUUCUUGAACGUGUGAUUCUUCUUUGAACUAAGGGAUUGCUGAGUUGGGUUUUGUUUGUUAAAAUGGGUGAAUUUGAGCAGGAAGAAGCAAGUGCAAUCAAGGCUGCUGGAAAGGCAUGGUACAAAACAAUGGAAUCGGAAAGCGAUUACUCAGAGUUCGAGAUUUUCUCCAAAUGGCUCGGUGCAUCGCAGUAAUAAUUUCGGCGACUUUGUAUUUGUGGUUCUUGUCAAGGUUUAUAAUUAGAAGUUUGGAGAGGUUGGAUUUUACUAGGUAUUUUUGAUUUGUGUUUCCAGAGGGAUGCAACUUCUACCAAUUUUGUUUGUUGUUUGAACUUUUCAUCUUCUUAAAAUGGGGAAGGCAAUCAAUUGACAUUUCUAAAUUCAAUCUCCUAUUCAGCUAUUUUCCACUCAAAAUUGUCAUUUUUUUGUUGCGAAUUUAAUAUGGCCGAAUUUCGACUAAAUUGAUAGGCCUAAAUUUUAUGUAUUCUAUAGUCUAACCAUUUUGAAAAUGUUUUAGGGCUUGCAUUUUGCAAGUUUAGAAAUUUAACCAGAGGAUUGUAAACAGCUUAAUCAUAAUUGUAUAAUACAACAUUCUAUUACUAAUGUUAUGAUUAAUAAAAAAAAAUGUAAGAUAUCUUAAGAAUUGGAUUUUUUUAAAGUAAAUGUCUACACAUAUAUUAAUUAUGAAACUUGAAACACACAUCAUUUAGACAAUAUAUGAUCUGAUUAAUACCCGAAUGUCCACACACAUUAAGAUUAAUAUAAACCAUAUGAUAUGAGCAUCAAAUGUUUGGUACAACUAUCCUACUCGGGCCUAAGGCCCGGACCAGAUAUCUAGUGGGUUUAGCCCAAUUAGCCCACCGCACCAGUUAACAAACCUAGCCGCGAAACUUAUCGAUAUAUAAACUUCCGAAAUCCCAGAUCCCCUACUCCGCCUUCCAAAACCCUAGAAGCCAUUUGUAUUCAGCUCCACUCUUCCUUUCCCCAGCUCGGCGAAAUGGCUGCAACCGCUGCUGCACGUCCCCUCGUCUCCGUCCAAACCCUACCCGUCCUCAAUGAUAUGUCCACCGAUUCCCCCACCACCGUACACCUCCCCGACGUGAUGCGAUCCUCCAUCCGUCCCGACAUCGUCAACUUCGUCCACGCCCAGAUGUCGAACAACAGUCGCCAACCCUACGCCGUCUCCAAGAAGGCCGGUCACCAGACCUCCGCCGAGUCAUGGGGUACCGGCCGUGCCGUUUCGCCUAUUCUUCGUGUUUCUGUCGUGGUGGACGCAUGUUCGCUCCCACCAAGAUCUGGCGCCGCUGGCACAGGAGGAUCAACGUCAACCAGAAGCGAUACGCUGUCGUUUCCGCGAUCGCCGCAUCUGCCGUGCCUUCUCUGGUGAUGGCGCGCGCCCACCGGAUUGACACUGUUCCUGAAUUGCCCCUGGUGAUCAACGAUUCCGCGGAGGGUGUCGAGAAGACUUCCACCGCCAUCAAGGUGUUGAAGGAGAUCGGAGCUUAUGCCGACGCCGAGAAGGCCAAGGACAGCCAGGCGAUCCGCGCCGGGAAAGGUAAGGCUAGGAACCGUAGAUACGUAUCUCGUAAGGGACCAUUGGUUGUUUACGGUAAUGAAGGUGCUAAGCUGGUUAAGGCCUUCCGUAACAUUCCUGGUGUUGAGAUCGCCAAUGUGGAACGCCUCAACCUUUUGAAGCUGGCUCCUGGUGGUCAUUUGGGACGGUUUGUGAUCUGGACCAAAUCUGCUUUUGAGAAGCUUGACUCGAUCUAUGGAUCGUUUGAGAAGGCUUCGGAGCAGAAGAAUGGUUAUGUCUUGCCCAGGGCCAAGAUGGUGAAUGCUGACCUUGCUAGGAUCAUCAACUCCGAUGAGGUUCAGUCUGUGGUGAAACCCGUCAACAAGGAAGUUAAGAGGGCCACGCUGAAGAAGAAUCCAUUGAAGAACUUGAACGUGAUGCUUAAGCUUAACCCGUAUGCCAAGACUGCUAGGAGAAUGUCAUUGUUGGCUGACGCCCAGCGCGUUAAAUCUAAGAAGGAGAAGCUUGACAGGAAGAGGACUCCCAUUAGCAAGGUAAAAUCAGAGUUUUCUCUCUUUGAUGACACUUGAUGUUAGUAAAUUAGUAAACUUAACUGUAAUUAUUAUGUUGGCUGAAUGAUUUGAUCGCAUUCUAUUGUUGGAUAUAGCAAUGUUCUCUGUUGUUUUCUGGGGUAGGGCAUAUAAUUCUUUGUUCCAGGUGCGGUGCAACCUAAUCUUGUUGAUAAGCAUAGCAUUUUGAAUGGCACAUCUUAGCUGUCCGAAAGCCAAGUGCUUUGACACUGUCCCAAUAGUUCUUCAUGUCUGUUGAUUGAAUGUUCAUAAGAAUCCUGACCUGAGAUUCUUCUUGAACGUGUAAUUGUUCUUUGAACUAAGGGGAUUGCUGAGUUGGAUUUUGUUUGUUAAAUGGGUGAAUUUGAG
rnacentral:lncRNA from 1 species